UGGCGGCCGGUGUGUAGUGGUCGGUCCGCGAUGGCUGGGUACGUGGAGCGGUGCCCCGGUUGGUGAUGCGACACCUGCGAGCUCUUGGCUCCACCAUUGAGUACCCUGGUGACCCUGGGCAAGUUUCCUAAGAGCUCUCUGCGUCUCCUCUGAGAGAAUUCAACCCACAGAAUGCCCACCCCUCGGACCGAACCUGCGGACUCUGGUUGAUGGUGACGUGUCCAUGUAGGUUCAUCAGCUGUAACAAAUGUACCAUCUGGUGGGAGAUGCGAAAGCUGGGGUGGCUGUGAGUUGGGGGGAUGGGGUUUAUGGGAAAUCUCUGCACCUUCUCCU